GACGAACCGAGCGAACGUUGUUCGGGAUCACUGGGCUUAAAGGGCGCGUAGGCGGGUGCUCAAGUCCGGGGUGAAAUCCCACAGCUCAACUGUGGAAUUGCCUCGGAUACUGGGUGUCUCGAGGGUGGUAGGGGUAUGCGGAACUAUCGGUGGAGCGGUGAAAUGCGUUGAUAUCGAUAGGAACUCCGGUGGCGAAGGCGGCAUACUGGACCACUUCUGACGCUGAGGCGCGAAAGCCAGGGGAGCAAACGGG
rnacentral:rRNA from 1 species